GUCCAUUCCGCCUGACACUACGUCUCAACCUCUGAAAUGUCGAGCAGGUGAGCAAAGUCUCAGGUGUUGUGGCCA
rnacentral:pre_miRNA from 1 species